UACGUAGGGGGCAAGCGUUGUCCGGAUUUAUUGGGCGUAAAGAGCGUGUAGGCGGCCAGACAAGUCUGCUGUGAAAACUCGAGGCUCAACCUCGAGCUGUCGGUGGAAACUGUCUGGCUAGAGUCCGGAAGAGGAGAGUGGAAUUCCUGGUGUAGCGGUGAAAUGCGCAGAUAUCGGGAAGAACACCCGUGGCGAAGGCGGUUCUCUGGGACGGUACUGACGCUGAGACGCGAAAGCGUGGGGAGCGAACAGG
rnacentral:rRNA from 1 species